rnacentral:sRNA from 1 species
CAACAACGGAAAGGAGGUGGUCGAAUGUCUCAUUGUCAUACGCCGGCAUCGGCGAGCGGCGAGCACAUGAUCGCUUCUGCGGUUCAUAUCCUCGCCUGAACAACCGCCGGCUCCGGCCGACAAUGGAAGGGCCGUUCCCCGUGGAGCGGCCCU